rnacentral:rRNA from 1 species
GGUGGCGAGUGGCGGACGGGUGAGGAAUACAUCGGAAUCUACUUUUUCGUGGGGGAUAACGUAGGGAAACUUACGCUAAUACCGCAUACGACCUACGGGUGAAAGCAGGGGACCUUCGGGCCUUGCGCGAUUGAAUGAGCCGAUGUCGGAUUAGCUAGUUGGCGGGGUAAAGGCCCACCAAGGCGACGAUCCGUAGCUGGUCUGAGAGGAUGAUCAGCCACACUGGAACUGAGACACGGUCCAGACUCCUACGGGAGGCAGCAGUGGGGAAUAUUGGACAAUGGGCGCAAGCCUGAUCCAGCCAUACCGCGUGGGUGAAGAAGGCCUUCGGGUUGUAAAGCCCUUUUGUUGGGAAAGAAAUCCAGCCGGCUAAUACCUGGUUGGGAUGACGGUACCCAAAGAAUAAGCACCGGCUAACUUCGUGCCAGCAGCCGCGGUAAUACGAAGGGUGCAAGCGUUACUCGGAAUUACUGGGCGUAAAGCGUGCGUAGGUGGUUGUUUAAGUCUGUUGUGAAAGCCCUGGGCUCAACCUGGGAACUGCAGUGGAAACUGGACGACUAGAGUGUGGUAGAGGGUAGCGGAAUUCCUGGUGUAGCAGUGAAAUGCGUAGAGAUCAGGAGGAACAUCCAUGGCGAAGGCAGCUACCUGGACCAACACUGAC